UGGCCUUUAAGACCCUUAUCCUAGCUGCCUGGAAGUCAGUAUUCUGCUAGCAGCCUUCAGAUGAAGAUGUAGAACUCUCAGAGUUCCUCCUGCACCAUGCCUGCCUGGAUGCUGCCAUGCUCCCACCUUGAUGAUAAAGGACUGAACCUGUGAACUGAAUCUAUUAGCCAUCUGGAGUCUUGUUGUGCUCAGUGUUGGAAAGCUAUAAGGCCCAGAGUCGGGAGCUAAUUUGCAUUGAUUAGAAUAGUUCCUCAGAGAAGCUUGAUGCUAUUUUGAAGAUAUUGAAUGGAAAUUAUUUUUGCCUUGAAGUCUUAUUGGGGAGACAUCGGUAAAGAACUCUCGGAAGUCACAUGCCAUGGAUGGAGCCACCAAAUUCUGUGAUUCCGAGAUUCUUCAGGCUUUCUUGGAGGAGACCAACCAAACAACAGAUUGGUACAUCUCUCGGCCUAUAUCAGAGUAGUGUCUAUUCGCAGUAGACGAUCACCACAGAGACUCAUGACUAGCCAUGGUGCAGAAUAAGAGCCUACGGAAUACUCAGCCUUAAGUGGAGCCUCUAAUCUUCUCCCUCUCCUUCCAAGCCUCAGUGAUCAUUGGAAGAGGGAGGGACCUGAGAGACCGGGAGACAGAGGUGGUGAAUGGAGGCAAGGAAUCAGAAUCCUCCGGACACAGCAGAGAAGCUGCACAUAUGAACUCGUAGCAGUUAUGACAAGUCCCAUGAAAGCUGAAGCCACAUC